CCCUGAUUUUCAUUGUUCUCAAACUUUACUAGUUUUAAGACCACAUUGUAAAGUUAAAUAAUCGCUUGAUGUUAUACAUGCUCCAUUUACAUACUCAAUUCCUCAUAUUAUGUCACCAAUAUAUACAUAUUAAAAUGUCUGAGACACUUAUCCAGCUACUGCCUGCUUAAUCACCUAGAGGUUGGACUAGAAGUCUAGAAAUAAAUAAAAUAUUCCACCGUCAUUCAUUAGUUUGAGAGUUUUUAACAGACCAAUACUAGUCGUAAUAGAGGUGAGAAUGAGAACAAGAGUGAAACCUGAUAUCAAGCAAAAUAGGGGAUAUAUGUCACCAAUAUAUACAUAUUAAAAUGUCUGAGACACUUAUCCAGCUACUGCCUGCUUAAUCACCUAGAGGUUGGACUAGAAGUCUAGAAAUAAAUAAAAUAUUCCACCGUCAUUCAUUAGUUUGAGAGUUUUUAACAGACCAAUACUAGUCGUAAUAGAGGUGAGAAUGAGAACAAGAGUGACACCUGAUAUCAAGCAAAAUAGGGGAUAUGGCUCGUCCAUUAACCAAAAAUAAUUAACAAAGCAAACCCACAGCUAAACUCUCGGAGUGACCUAAAAUUAUCUUCCCUUAUUAUUGUCUUUUGCAAGUUCGAUUUGAUUAUUUGUUUAUGUGCAGACAUACCUCAUGUUCAGGUAUUUACAC
rnacentral:lncRNA from 1 species